rnacentral:rRNA from 1 species
GACAGAGGAGCCAAGCGUUGUCCGGAUUGACUGGGCGUAAAGGGCACGCAGGUGGUCGCGCAAGUGUGAUGUGAAAGCGGCUCGCUUAACGAGCCGAGGCCAUCGCCGACUGCGUAACUCGAGCGCGAGAGAGGUCCGUGGAAUUGCCGGUGUAGUGGUGAAAUGCGUAGAGAUCGGCAGGAACACCCAGGGGGAAACCAGCCGACU